GGAGUGAACGCUGGCGGCAUGCCUUACACAUGCAAGUCGAACGGCAGCACGGGAGCAAUCCUGGUGGCGAGUGGCGAACGGGUGAGUAAUACAUCGGAACGUGCCCAAUCGUGGGGGAUAACGCAGCGAAAGCUGUGCUAAUACCGCAUAAGAUCUACGGAUGAAAGCAGGGGAUCGCAAGACCUUGCGCGAAUGGAGCGGCCGAUGGCAGUAUUUAGGUAGUUGGUGAGGUAAAGGCUACACCAAGCCUUCGAUCGUGUAGCUGGUCUGAGAGGACACCAGACCACACGUGGGAACUGACGACACCGG
rnacentral:rRNA from 1 species